GCAAGUGUGUGAGCGUGUGUGUGCGAGCGUGUGUGUGUGAGAGUGUGUGUGUGUGAGCGUGAGCGUGUGUGUGAGAUCGUGAGCAUGUGUGUGUGAGCGUGGGGGUAUCAGUGCAAGUGUCAGUAUGAGAGUGAUUCCAGCAGGACCCAACUAUCAUAUGAAUACUGAAUACAUAUCUAAAAUACUUCAUGGGAAAUAUAAAAAUGGAAUGAAAGGAUAGUGUAGCAUUAAGUGUGGUUAGGUUCUUUCCAGAGAAUUUGGAAACCCCACCCCCCUCAGGAAUUAGGCGUGGUUACAGAAUACACCUGCGGCAAAAAUAAUUCAACCCUUACCUAGGGUGACCAGACCCCCCGUACUUCAGCCCCUUUUAUCUGUCCAGACUUAUUCUGAUAAAUCCCAAUUUUCAUCUUAUUUUGGUUGUGCCAUAUUUCAAUGAGUUUUCUGACUGUAACUGCCACUAUUGUAGCUUCUCAUUGCAUUAUGUCCAGAGUAUCCGGGAAAUCUGGUCACCCUACCCAUCCCCUUUAGACACCAGCAAGCUUCCUGCAGAUUAGUGACAAAUUUCAAAUUAAAUGCCUGUUUUCACUGAUAUUAAGAUCAAAAUUCUUAAUGUUAUAAGAAUAGUGCUGGUUUGGUGAGAUGUGUCUGGUGAGCAGUGCAGUUCGUAGAGCAGCCAUCUUGUCUUGUCAAAUCCGUCUCUGUCUAUACCCCCUCUGUGUUUCUCGUCUGAAUAACAUCAUAAAAUACAUAAGGAGGGCAGACUGCCCAUGAGAAAAUAAUAGUGUUUUGGUUUAGUAACACAUUUGAACAUUCAAUAGGACAUGACAGGAGUGUUUCUUCAAAUGUUAUCAUUAUCCAAAUAUUUAAAGUACUUUGAGCUUAUACAGUAUGUGACCCAGGUCUGGUCCUAAAACACCUACUGCUCUUACCAGAACACGCAGAAAGGAGCUCAUGAAGUUCAGUCCAUCAGGAACCUGGCCUUAAUUAAACUGGCGGUCUGAGUGGGGCUUUUUAAGCGCAGUAAAGUUGGCUUCUCCUGACUGCGUGGGAAGUGCUGAUCCGCGUGCGAUAAUGUGCUCUCGGGGGCCACUCGUAAAUGUCCGUUAAGACCCAUCGCUCACCCCCUCCGCCCAAGGUGUCCUUGAGGGCUUCUGCUUCUAAGUGUGCCUGUGUUUCCUCCAAAUAACCCCGUUCCUGCUAUAGGCCAUACUGCGUCAUCAAAAAACAAGUCCACUAUUCCAUACAUUACAUUAGCACACAACCCAGUUCUUCAGAACUCAGUCUAGUUGGGUCUGUCCCAUGGAUAGGUGUGUGGUGUGUGCCCCACAGACAAGCGUGUGCCCCACAGACAGGUGUGUGGUGUGUGUCCCACAGACAGGUGUGUGUCCCACAGACAGACAGGUGUGUGGUGUGUGUUUCACAGACACGUGUGUCCCACAGACAGACAGGUGUGUGGUGUGUGUUUCACAGACACGUGUGUGUCCCACAGACAGGUGUGCUGUCUCCCACAGACAGGUGUGUGGUGUGUGUCGCACAGACAGGUGUGUUUGAACCAGGCUUCCACAGCCACACGCCUCUCUCCUCACAGCUGGCCAGCCAGUUGGUGGGUCACAUGACUGGGGUCCCUGGAGUGCGAUCGCUGACAGGCUGCUCGGAGGUGGUUCCUCUGAUGGUGGGUGUAGGGGGGGUAUAGGGCAGCUGCAGCAGAAGUCUGGUCACAGUCUCGCUCGACACGACACAACCCAGCCACUUUUAAUUAAGCCUCCACCAGCGAACGAGAAAGUGAACCUCUGCC